rnacentral:rRNA from 1 species
UACGGAGGGUGCAAGCGUUAAUCGGAAUUACUGGGCGUAAAGCGCGCGUAGGCGGCUCGAUAAGUCGGAUGUGAAAGCCCCGGGCUCAACCUGGGAACUGCAUACGAUACUGUCUGGCUAGAGUAUGAGAGAGGGAGGUAGAAUUCCACGUGUAGCGGUGAAAUGCGUAGAUAUGUGGAGGAAUACCGGUGGCGAAGGCGGCCCACUGGUCCGGUACUGACGCUGAGGUGCGAAAGCGUGGGGAGCAAACAGG